GUCCUUCUGUAGUUCAUGAGCGUGAAGAUUGGGUGCUCACGGGCACAUGUGAAAUGUGCCACCCUCUGAACCUUGUUACAACAUCGGCACAUUACCCAUCUGACC
rfam:Homo sapiens chromosome 2, GRCh38 reference primary assembly.